GGGCGUGUGGACCAUCCUUCCAGGUUGUUGAGGCUUUGGAGAUGUUGUUAUAGAGGCAAACCUUGUAGGACAUUCCAUUACAUGGAUGCCCUUUAUACCUUGAAGAGCGUUUGGACAAAGCCAUGGCCAGACAAUCUUGGUUAGACACAUUCCCUGACUGCAAGCUCAUGAAUACUAUUGCAGGAGUCUCUGAUCAUUCCCCUAUUAUUAUGGCCCUUUUUCGUCAAGAAACGUUGAAGAAGAUGACCUUGACACAGUUGGAAGGAAUGGUUGGUCCUCAAAUGUGUCCCUUAAUUUUCUCUCAAAAGUCUAUACAUGUUUUUAUGAGCUUUUAGCUUGGGGCCACCGCAUCCACACUCGCUUCAAAAAUGAUAUCAAGAAAUGUAAGGACAGAUUGGAGAUUUUAAGGUACUCUGAUGCCCUUAGCUGUAUGCGUGAUUUUAAAAAUACCAGGGAGGAUUUAAAUCUGCUUCUUUCCUAAGAAGAAUUAUUUUGGAGACAGAGACCCAAAGUUCACUGAUAAGGGAUGGGGAUGCUAAUACAAAAAAAAUUCAUGCUAUUGCAAAUGCUAGAAAGAAGAAGAGUUUCAUUUCAAAGCUUUCUAAUGACGGCGAGGAUAUUAUUUCUAAUCAUAGUGAUCUUUGUAACCUUGCUCGAAACUAUUUUGAAUCCCUAUAUAGCUACAAUGAUGUUGAUGUUGCAGUCACUGUUGAUCAUGUUGAGCCAAAAUUGACUAUGUUUGAUAAUGUCUCCCUCGUAACUCCUUUUGAAAAAUGGGAAUUCAAGGAAGCUGCUUUUCAGAUGCACUCUAAUAAAUCCCCUGGACCAGAUGGCUUUAAUCCUACUUUCUACAAAUGAUUUUGGGACCUACUUGGUGAUUAUAUCUUUAACAAUGGUGUUGCCUAGAUGGACAAUGUUUUUUCCCUCCUAAACUAAGUAGCACUGAUAUUGUAUUGAUCCCAAAAAUUGACACACCUGCCUCUAUGAAAGAUUUGUGACCUAUUUCUUUAUGCAAUGUCCUUUAUAAGAUUGUCUCAAAAGUGCUUGCUAACAGAUUAUGAGUUGUGCUACCUCUGUGUAUCUCUAAGGAGUAAUCUACAUUUGUGGAGGGCAAAUCCAUCCUUGAUAAUGUCUUGGUUGCCAUUGAGACCAUCCAUCACUUGAAAUGUAAGGUGAGAGGUAAGGAAGGGGAAUUUGCUCUAAAGAUGGGCAUCCGUAAAGCUUUUGAUAAGGUGGAUUAGAGAUAUUUGAAUGUCAUGCUUCUAAAAAUGGGCUUUGAUCCAAAGUGGGUAACUUGGAUGAGGAUGUGUGUUGAAUCUGUGAACUUUAAUGUGUUGGUCAAUGGAGAGGCAGUGGGACCCAUUUCACCAGGGAGAGGACAGGGGAACCCAGUGUCCCCUUAUCUUUUUAUUAUAUGUAUGGAGGAACUUACUUAGUUAAUGAGGGUUCAUGAGAGAAAGGGAGAUCUUCACGGCCUCAAAGUGUGUAGAGGAGCCCCUCUUCUCACACACUUUUUUGCUGACCAUCUCUUCCUAUUUUGCAGGGCUAAUGUUAAUUAAGUUGAUAUCCUUCACAGUAUUCUCGGUGCUUUUGAGAAAGCCUCAGGUCUUUCCAUCAUCUUCCAGAAAUCUGAAUUUUUUUAGCAGAAACACACCACCCAGCAUCAAGCAACAAAUCUCUGGACAACUGCAAGUUACAGAUUGUCUGGGAACAGGGAAAUACCUUGGGAUGCCCUCUAUGAAUGGUAGGAAGAAAAAAUCCAUCUUCUCCUAUCUGAGGGAUAAAAUUUGGAGGAAGAUCCAACAGUGGUUAACACCUUUCAAAGGUAAGCAAGGAUUGAAGCUAGCUUCUGAUGGACAUUGGGAGAUGGGAAAACUGCCAAAGUUUGGAAGGACCCAUCGCCACGAUCUACUGAUGGUUCAUUCGUCACCAACCCCAUUAUUGAUGGUCUGGAGGACUUAUCAGUUGAGGCUUUGGUAGACCCUUUUCAACAAAGUCCUGGAACAAAAUUAUUCUAAAUGACCUUUUCACAGCAGAGGAUGUCACUAGAAUUCUUUCAAUGCCAACCUAUUUCAGGGAUGAACUAGACAAGCUUACAUGGAUGUUUAGUAGAGAUGGAUUUUACACAGUCAAAUCCGCAUACUUUCAUGCUACACAGAGUAUGGUAGACAACUCAAGUCUGCGUGAAGAAGGACGGUAGAUGGAUAUAUGGCAACUGAAGAUUCCACAAAGGGUGUUGAUAAUUAUGGAGAAUAGCACGAAACUGUCUCCCUACGCAUGACAGGCUUCUAACAAAGGGUGUUGAUUGCCCACCCACUUGCUCUUUGUGCUCACAUUAUAUUGAAAACGAUUGGCACAUUUUUGUUGGUUGUGAGCAUGCGAAGAAGGCUUGGGAGGAGGUAUCGCUCUGGAACAAAAUACAGGAAGUUGCUGUAACUGGGGAUGACAUGAAAUCACUUAUAUUCACAUCAUUAAAAGCAUUCACCACUGUUCAAACAGAUACCUUUGGUUUCUUUGGAAGCGACGUAACGAGAAACUUUAGGAAAAUAUACAGAAGCCCCUCAACAUAUCAUUGAACUCUCCUUCCAGUAUACUCAUGAUUGGAAGUAACUCUGUUACCGCAGACCUUCACUACCCUCUGCUGCUAAUAGUUCAACGCCAAAAUGGUCCAGACCAUCGCUAGAGUUCAUCAAAUGUAAUCUGGAUGCCUCACUCUUUCGCAAUUAUCUUCUUCAUGGACUUGGGGCAUGCAACAGAAACUCACAGGGAACUUUUGUUGCUGAUUUAUCUUGCUGGUUCAAGGGCCUUCUUCCACCCAUGGAAGCUGAAGAUCGAGCUCUAUCUCAAGUUAUAACUUGGUUACUGAACAACAACUUCACCAAAGUCAUCCUGGAAAUUGACUGUCAGCAGCUAGUGGACACCAUCAACACGAGCUAUUUCCAAAAAAAUGAAGUUGGAGAUAUCCUAAAGCUCUGUGUUUCUAAAUGUUCAAGUUUUGAAAACUGUUCAAUUUAGUUUGUUAGUAGGCAAACCAAUCAAGUUAUUCAUUCCUUAGCAAGAACAUCUAGAUUCUAUGUUUGUCAACAUGCUUUUGAUCAUAGUCAUUCCUUAGCAAUUCAGUUUGUUAAUAUAAGUCUCUCCUUUUUAAAUCA